rnacentral:lncRNA from 1 species
UUUGGCAACAAAAGUAGACCGGAAUUAGUUCCUAGAUCUGGAGCAGGGAAGUUAUCUAAAAACACCAACUUUCGUUAAAAGAAAGCAGCGACCUCCUCUGGCGUUCACCCCCGAAGGAAAAAGGAAUUUGAGAAACUGGCGCCCCCCAAUAGAUGUAUAAUCGGCUCUCAGUGCAUGCUUCUUAGAGCUUUCUAGAAGACAACCAGCUGACUUUUCCAACGGAACUCCACAGUUGGUACCACAAAUUUGCAUUCCGGUCGUUUCUACGAAAGACCACCUGACGUAAUUUUAGGCUCAUGCUUUUCUGUGGAAGGACAGAAUUACUGGGGCGCAGGUCCCCAAUAACAGAUAAAAAUACUUAUGAACAAAAUCGUUUAGUGUCAGGUCGCUGUUUUGUUUUGUUUUUGGAAAUACAGACCAAUCACUGAGCUUUCCCAUUAAAAGAGUCAAUACGUGCAAAGCAAGUAGAACAGCGAGCUCCUGCCCAUUCUUGGACACCACAAAUUGGGCUGGCUUCCUGAACGUGCACCCCAUUUUCAGCUCAGAGAACCGUGCUCCAAAGGGUAAAUACACAAGUGUCUUUGUUUUAUGGAUUUUCCUGUUAACAAUUAUAGGGGAAACAAAAUGUACCAAGAGGACAAUUCCAGAGGUUUCACAUUUCGACAGUGUCACAGCAAUGUCCCUUCUCCUGUGCAGUUACAGUGCCCCCACAGCAAUGGCCACAGGAUUAUCUCAGCCCUGUCAGUUUCCGCUGGAAGGCCCAGGUUGUCAGGUGUGCAGGCCUCAUUUGUCCUUGACUUCUGCCCAACACAAGUAUCAGAAGAGGGAAUUUCUACAAAGAAGUUGGUCAUCAAAUCAUGGUGAAAUGUACUUCCCAGCACCAAAGGACUGGAAUGGCAAAUGUAUGGUGUAAUCUCAUUUUGUGAAAGGAAGGAGGAAAAGGAAAAGAAGAAGCAAAGAAGAAACAUCAUAUAUGUGUAUACAUAUUUGUAGAAACUUGAACAGUGAUGUGGAAGUAGACAUUCCAUGACAUAAACAGAGCUUGCCUCGAGAGGAGUUUAGUGCAGUGAGGACUGGCAGGGAGAUGAUUAACUUUUUCUUUAUGUAUCUCUGUAUUUUUGACUUGUUACA